rnacentral:rRNA from 1 species
GAUGAACGCUGGCGGCGUGCCUAAUACAUGCAAGUCGAGCGAACGGACGAGAAGCUUGCUUCUCUGAUGUUAGCGGCGGACGGGUGAGUAACACGUGGAUGACCUAACUAUAAGACUGGGAUAACUUCGGGAAACCGGAGCUAAUACCGGAUAAUAUUUUGAACCGCAUGGUUCAAAAGUGAAAGACGGUCUUGCUGUCACUUAUAGAUGGAUCCGCGCUGCAUUAGCUAGUUGGUAAGGUAACGGCUUACCAAGGCAACGAUGCAUAGCCGACCUGAGAGGGUGAUCGGCCACACUGGAACUGAGACACGGUCCAGACUCCUACGGGAGGCAGCAGUAGGGAAUCUUCCGCAAUGGGCGAAAGCCUGACGGAGCAACGCCGCGUGAGUGAUGAAGGUCUUCGGAUCGUAAAACUCUGUUAUUAGGGAAGAACAUAUGUGUAAGUAACUGUGCACAUCUUGACGGUACCUAAUCAGAAAGCCACGGCUAACUACGUG